CGCCUGUUUAUCAAAAACAUGUCCUUUUGCUUAUUAAAUAUAAGGUCUAACCUGCCCAAUGAUUAUAAAUUUAAUGGCCGCGGUAUUUUAACUGUGCUAAGGUAGCAUAAUCAUUUGUCUUUUAAUUAAAGGCUAGAAUGAAUGGUUGGACGAGGUAUAAGCUUUCUUUAACUUAGUUGUUGAAUUUAAUUUUUUAGUCAAAAAGCUAAAAUUUAUUUGAGGGACGAGAAGACCCUAUAGAUCUUUAUAAAUGAUUUUAUUAUAUAUAUCAGUGAAUUAAUUAUUUUGAUAAGGCUAUUUAUUUGGUUGGGGUGACUGUAGAAAUUGAGUAACUUCUAUUUAUAUUUUUCAUUAAUUAAUGUUUAUUUGAUCCAUUUCUAGUGAUUAAAAGAUUAAGUUACCUUAGGGAUAACAGCGUAAUUUUUUCGGAGAGUUCUUAUCGAUGAAGGAGUUUGCGACCUCGAUGUUGGAUUAAAAUUAGUAGUAGGUGUAGCAGUUUAUUAACUAGGUCUGUUCGACCUUUAAUUUUUUACAUGAUCUGAGUUCAAACCGGAG
rnacentral:rRNA from 1 species